GGAGCAUGUGGCUUAAUUUGACUCAACGCGGGAAAUCUUACCAGGUCCGGACACACUGAGGAUUGACAGGAAGUAUCGUCUUUUGAAUUCUUUAAGGAUAUGUCGUUUUUAAUGACAUCUUUUAGAUGGAUGAUUCGUGUAAAUAUGCUAGUUCUUUCAUGAUUAUGUGAUAGGUGGUGCAUGGCCGUUCUUAGUUCGUGGAGUGAUCUGUCUGCUUAAUUGCGUUUCACUAAGGCCCCAAAGUUAGCAAAUUAUCAAUCGUUACAGAGUCGACCCCUCACCUUUGAGUGCGCGUCCUAACUUGUAGUACAUGGUGUAAAUGGAUUUGUUUUGGGUACCCAGAAAGCAACGAACGUGACCGCAACGUCUUGUUGUCUCUCUUUGACAGUUAUGGGUUAUCCCAGUCAUGUGUUUAUACUUUUAUGUGUAAAUACGUACGACACAGAGACUAGAUACCAAACUAGGCGGACCGCUGUAUCAUUUCUUUAAACCAGAGGAAGGUUGCGGCAAUAACAG
rnacentral:rRNA from 1 species